AGUAUUAAAAGUGGUUUCUAAUUAAUCUGAUAUUAAAAUGACUUUUUCAAAAAUACAUCUACAUUUAGAGUGUAACAGAUAUUUUAAACCAAUAAUUUCAAUAAAUUAUGAUGGAUUAAAAUAUGAUAAUAUAUGUAGUUAAGUGUAGAUAUAGUCUUAUUUAUUAAGCUCAGGAAAAUAUUUAGUUGACUUGAUAAAAUAUUUGAUUUUUCAAUUAUUUAAGAUCUUCAUAUUUUUUUAACUUAAUAUUUCCUUUUGGAGGUCUAUAGCUUUUUUCUUUGGCUUUCCUUGUAAUUGUAUAGCUAAUAGAAGGAAAUUAAAAUGAAUGCGAUAUGGGGUUAAUUAAUAUUCACUCUUCAGUUUUAAGAAGUACUAGAAAUUAUAUACCUCAUGAUGAAAGUAUGCAAUGCCCCCUAUAAAAUAUUCUUGGAAAAAUUUUAAAUCAAAUCAUCAGCUCUAUUAGUGUAUUGAAGAACAGGUGAAGUGACAACAUGGGUGUGCAAUUUGCAAAUCCCACCAUGUAGAGGACUUUAUAGACAAACAACCAGUUUAUUGGACACAUUUAUUAAAAGGGGAAGAAGAUUAAAGACUUAGAAGACAUGCCAUUCAAAUGUAAGUAUAGUCUUCCUGUGGAUGCAAUUUAAACAAACCAACUGCACAAAUAGCAAAUUGGGAAAAUUUGACCUCUGAUAGGAUAUCUAAUUAUUUUCAGGAAUUGUUAAUUUUUAGAUAUGAAAAUGAUAGUGUGGUUAUAUUUGGGGGAAAUACAUGUUUUUAAUAUACUGAAAUAUUUAUGAAUGAAAUGAUAAGUUAUCUGGAAUUAUCUUUAAAAUAACCUUGGGAUAGGGUAGAGUGGAAGAAUGUAUAAAGGAAUUAAGAAUAGCCAUGGCCCUGGCCACAGUGGCUCAGUGGUUGAGUAUUGAUUCAUGAACCAAGACAGCACAGUUUGAUUCCUGGUCAGGGCAAAUGCUUAGGUUUUGGCCUUGAUCCCCAGUAGGGAUCAUGCAGAAGGCAGGCAAUCAGUGCUUCUCUCUCCUCAAUGCUUCUGUCUCCAUCCCUCUCCCUUCUCUCUCUCUAAAAAAUCAAUGAAAACAUAUUUUUUUUAAAAAGCGAUGAGUAAAUGAUUGCUGUAGUCCCGAGAGUACAUGAGACUUUAUUGUUCUAUUUUGUGUGUAUUUUAAGUCAAAAUUCAUAAAAACUCAAACUUU